UGCCCAGCAACUCCUAUCCCUACCUCCACGCGGUACCGGCCGGAAACUAUUAGCAACCUUAGGGAAGAUCGGGUAACCAACCCCGGUGGGAACUUUGGUCGUAGGCUGACAGGGAAGG
rnacentral:ribozyme from 1 species